rnacentral:lncRNA from 1 species
UUAUCACAAGCAGAUGGAAUCCCUAUAGAGUCGGAUCUCAUCUACAUAUCACCUAUUAUAUGUAGUUAUUGAUGGAUAAAUACUUCAACAACUAAAGGCAGAAAGAGAGCAGUUCACAAAGACGUUAUUGGUGAUUCAAUCUUGAGUCAUGAAAAGUCAACCUUGAGCCACAAAAAGUCAACCUUGAGCCAAGCAGAUUGGAGAGUCAUACAUGCCAUUCCUGGGACCAUCAAAAAUGGCAGAGGUCACACAAAAAGGCAAAACUUUUAAGAGGUGUUUUAAACGUCGUAUGGGCCAAAGAGAAGCUGGAUUUCCUAUUGGAGUCACCUGUAACACACGUGUGACGAAAUUGGCCUGUGAGGACAAGGCAGUGAGCAGAGAGGACAGCAGUCCUUAUGAGAUCAAGCUCUAAGAAAAGUUGCUAAAACUGCUGUGAGAUUCUGGCUAAGAAAGUUUCAUGAGAAGUUUUACAGAAAAAUGUGAACGGAAGACAGAACUAGAUAUAAAUUUGAAUGGUAAUCUAAAUAAAAGACAUUUUUCAUU